CCUACGCGAGGCAGCAGUAGGGAAUCUUCCACAAUGGACGAAAGUCUGAUGGAGCAACGCCGCGUGAGUGAAGAAGGGUUUCGGCUCGUAAAGCUCUGUUGGUAGUGAAGAAAGAUAGAGGUAGUAACUGGCCUUUAUUUGACGGGAAUUAAUUAGAAAGUCACGGAUAACUAAGUGCGAGCAGCAGCGGUAAUACGUAGGUGGGAAGCGUGGUCCGGAUUGAUUGGGCGUAAAGAGAGUACAGGCGGUUCAAUAAGACUGCUGUGAAAGCCUUCGGCUCAAACGGAGCAUUGCAUCAGAAACUGUUGAACUUGAGUGCAGAAGAGGAGAGUGGAACUCCAUGUGUAGCGGUGGAAUGCGUAGAUAUAUGGAAGAACACCAGUGGCGAAGGCGGCUCUCUGGUCUGCAACUGACGCUGAGGCUCGAAAGCAUGGGUAGCGAACAGGAUUAGAUACCCGUGUAGUC
rnacentral:rRNA from 1 species